rnacentral:ncRNA from 2 species
CGCUCCACCUCGGGGGGCCACUGGCUGAGAUGCGCGUCGCGCGGACCCGUUGAACCUGAACCGGAUCACACCGGCGGAGGGAAGGUUUCGGGACAGGCG